GAAGGAACUCCCGGUGUGAUAUGUUGGAAAAUCCGUACCAUAUCACAGCGGUAGUUACCUG
rnacentral:pre_miRNA from 1 species